GGUUUUUAUAAAAUCCGAUUGUUGUGGAUGCAUUUUUUAGUUUGAUCCACCGACACUAUUUGCUCUCAAAGUUCAGAAAUCUAUCUUACAAAAACAAAUGAUUUUUGUAAAAUCUGAUGAUUGUGGAUGUGUUUUUUAGUUUGAUCCACCGACACUAUUUGCUCUCAAAGUUCAGAAAGUUGAGAGACAAAUCGUGGCUAAGAACCAACCCAUGUUUAACGCCCCAUCCAAUCGUCCAGAUUCACGCAUCUAUUAUUGUCUCUCCGUCAGUUAUCAAUAUCAUCAAUAUCAGCACCGAUUUAGGGCCCGUUGUUGUUUCUCACUUCAAUAGGUUUGUCAAAAAUAGGUUCUUUCUCCCGUCCGUUACCAAUCCUAUUAAUGUUGUUUCUCCCUUCAACAAGCACCAAUCCAUCCGGCUAAAAUUCGAUUUAUUUCUCCCUUCAAUUUCCUUACGUUACUUACCAUGGAUUCCCGUUGUCAGAAAUAGGUUUUACAGCCCUAAUUGUUCAUGCGUUACGAAAAGAAAAAAGUGCCCCAUUAACAACUCUCUAAUUUCUACUAUAAAUCCCUUCGACUACAUAAACAUCAAAAGGGGUACGGUUAUCUUCCAAAGGUUCUCGGUAUGUUUCUAAACCCCUGUAAGUUUCAGUUUGGGUAUUUUUUCUUUGUUUUAAUUCUUUUAUUUUGAUUUAGUGUUAUUGGUUCAAGGUUUUGUUUUUAGUUUUUUUUUUCACUAAUUUUUCAUUUGAUGCUUCGAUCUUACUCAAUUUCCCAUUUGAAGUGGAAUGCUACGGUUGAAAUUUAACAUUUUUUUUUCUAUCGUUAAGAUUGUAAUUUGGCAUCCGUAUCAAUCUUAGCGAAUGAUAAUGAUUUUAUCAUCAGCUGUGAAUAAGGUGACUGCAGCUAAAAUUGAAUUGAGGAGGUUGAAGAAUAUAGUGGAGGUGAAGGUACAAGUUAACAACUUACGUAUUAUUAUUGAAUGAGUUUUGGUUGGUUUUAAUCCAGGGGAUUCCCUGUCAGAACCAACCAACAUAUUUGUGGGUACAAUUCCUCAUACCUGUAUCUGUUUCCCACAAUUAUCCUUGAAUUGAGGUAUCAGGCAGCUAGCAAAAUGCCUUCAUUGACUCUUUGUGAUUACUGUGCCUGCUCUUUUAGAAAAUGAAAAUUUAUGUUUAAUUUUAUUGAUUUUUUAUUCACUGGAUCAUCUGGAUCAGGGGACAUAUUCUAUUAUCAACCCUUCAAAAAAUACAUUUGUAUUCUUCGACAAUAUUAUUAUUUGUUUUGAUUGGUUUGCUACUAUAUCGUUGUUGUUAUUCAAUACUCUUACAAGUUUAAUAUCUCUGCACAAUUAUAGGUUCAUAUCUGCAUACUCUCACAGCACCGGGGAUGCUGAGGAUGCCUUUAGGAGGCUUGAAACACCUCUUCCCAAUACUCUAUAUAUAUGUACAGGCUUUGGAUGGAGUCUUUAGUUAAUAAUCCUAGCUAUUUUACUUUUAUGUUCAGUUGAAUUUACAGUUCACACUUGGAUUUGGAUGCCCUGUGACAUUAUCAAUCUUAUAUAUAUAUGUACAGGCUUUGGAUGGAGUCUUUAGUUAAUAAUCCUAGCUAUUUUACUUUUAUGUUCAGUUGAAUUUACAGUUCACACUUGGAUUUGGAUGCCCUGUGACAUUAUCAUAAACAGUUCACCACAGUAUGCUUGAGGAUAUUAAAGACCAGGGUUAUGUAGCACUUCCGCAGAUUUGCCUUAGAUAUUUCUACGCUUCUUGAUGGAUCCAUAAAGUGGAAUGGGACAUGCAGAAGUGGAACCAUAUAUAAUUGUGUUCAGUUUUUUUUUUGUUGCUAUUGGUACCCGAUCUUAGAUGGUUCGUCAAAAAGAUUAAAUGGCAGUAUGGCACUACAAAAAUGUAUAGGAUAUGGUUACAAGGUGCCGAAAGGUCCAGCUUACAUAAUAAUAUUCGCAAGCUUUACUUAAUAAUUUAUCUCCAGCUUAUAAAAAGGAUUAUCUUAUCUUUAGAACUAUUUUUUUUUAAUUAGUUUGGCUCAUGGACAAACAUUAAUAUGGGACCUGUUUAUGUUAAGGAUGUUGCAGGGAUAAAAUUCUUUAUAUAUACAAAAACUCAGCAACCUCUGGAAGCCAUUAAAGUGCCUUAGCAGCUAAUAUUGAGAACCUUACCCUGGAUACAGUGUGCCCAGUGGCAAUGCAGAGAUGUAAUGAAGAACCCAACAAGUCAGUUCGGAGAAAUUACCAUCGCACUGGGUGGCUGCUUUAGAUUUAGAUAGACGUUACCAAUUAUUCAGAAAGGAUGCUUGGAGCAAAUUGUAGGAGCGUCGAUAAGAAGAUUUGUACUGUUUAAUAGCCUCAUGAUCCUAAAACUUGCAAAAAAAAAAACCGAGGAUAGGAAAUGAAGACAUAUGGAGUGUCAAAUUUGCUGAAUCUAUGCUACAGGUGGGAACGAGUCCGGAACCAGAAAUUGAAAUGCCACACCUGAUCGAUAAGUUCAUAAUGAUGCUUAGUUCGCCACCAUUUAACUUGGACGUAACGGCCGGAUCUCCAAUAAUGAUGCUACGCAUUAUCACCACGAGUGAUGGGCUGUACAAUAAAACCAGAUUGAGGAUGGAGUUGUGCGGAGACCAUGUAAGUUGAAGAGACAAUCUUGACUGGUGACAAGCAGGGUCAGUUGGUUUUCAUCCAACAAAAUUCACCAUCCGAUGUCAUUGUUAGAAUUCCAAGGAGGCAGUUUCCAGUACGACAUGCCUACACAAUGAUUAUAAACAAGUCGCAAGGCCAAUCGAUGAAAUUUGUGGGAACACUAGCUUUGAGAAGUCCAGUUUUCAGCCAUGGAGUUAUAUGUGGCUCUGUCAAGAUGGAGUUAAAUUCCAGAGAACAACGAAGUCAACAAGAUGGAUAAUGUGGUUUAUCCGGAAGUAAUUUUGUUGUAUGCAUAUAAGACUAUCAGUAGUAGAUGUCUAUGCCGUAAGAUUCAUUAAAAGUUUAAGUAAUUUUACAUUUGAAUUUUGUAAUACUGUGAAUUCUAAGAAAGACAUGAAACAAAAAUGCUAUUCAAUUAUUGCGAUAUCUUAUUUGAUAGAGUAAAAGUUGGUAGUAUGGUUUUCAUAGUAAGGUAUAAUUUGUUUCUACACAUACAA